rnacentral:rRNA from 1 species
GGGAAGUAAAAAGUCGUAACAAGGUCUCCGUAGGUGAACCUGCGGAGGGAUCAUUACUGAGUGAGGGCCUUCGGGCUCGACCUCCAACCCUUUGUGAACACAACUUGUUGCUUCGGGGGCGACCCUGCCGUUUCGACGGCGAGCGCCCCCGGAGGCCUUCAAACACUGCAUCUUUGCGUCGGAGUUUAAGUAAAUUAAACAAAACUUUCAACAACGGAUCUCUUGGUUCUGGCAUCGAUGAAGAACGCAGCGAAAUGCGAUAAGUAAUGUGAAUUGCAGAAUUCAGUGAAUCAUCGAAUCUUUGAACGCACAUUGCGCCCCUUGGUAUUCCGAGGGGCAUGCCUGUUCGAGCGUCAUUUCACCACUCAAGCCUCGCUUGGUAUUGGGCGCCGCGGUGUUCCGCGCGCCUCAAAGUCUCCGGCUGAGCUGUCCGUCUCUAAGCGUUGUGAUUUCAUUAAUCGCUUCGGAGCGCGGGCGGUCGCGGCCGUUAAAUCUUUCACAAGGUUGACCUCGGAUCAGGUGAGGGAUACCCGCUGAACUUAAGCAUAUCAAUAAGCGGAGGAA